UUGCAACCUUGUCACCAAAAGCUGCAGAUCAAAACCCAAAUGGAUCUGUGUUGGGUGCUAAUAGCAGUGAUUUCACACUGACAAUGAACACUCCAUGGCUACAGCUCAACUCUCUGCUGCUGGACGAGUUCGGUGCAGACUCACCUGCUUCACCUCUUCAUCACUGGUCUGAAUGCAGUGACCUUGUCAUCCUGCACGGUCCCACAGGCUUCGCUGAGGUCAGACGACUGUGUCUCUGCUUUGCCGCCAGAGAAUCCUGCACACCCAGAUAAAAGCAUAUCUAAGACACUUUCCCCAGGUAAAAAAUGACAUACCGUCAAUGGAGGAGUACUGGCAUGUGUCUGGGAGUGCAGCGUAGGACGAACAGUGUAGUUGGAGGCCCUUGU